GGAGUAUUGGACAAUGGGCGCAAGCCUGAUCCAGCAAUGCCGCGUGAGUGACGAAGGCCUUCGGGUUGUAAAGCUCUUUCGGUGGGGAAGAUAAUGACGGUACCCGCAGAAGAAGCCCCGGCUAACUCCGUGCCAGCAGCCGCGGUAAUACGGAGGGGGCUAGCGUUGUUCGGAUUUACUGGGCGUAAAGCGCACGUAGGCGGAUUGGCAAGUUGGGGGUGAAAUCCCGGGGCUUAACUCCGGAAUUGCCUUCAAAACUGCCAAUCUUGAGUCCGGGAGAGGUAAGUGGAAUUCCGAGUGUAGAGGUGAAAUUCGUAGAUAUUCGGAAGAACACCAGUGGCGAAGGCGGCUUACUGGUCCGGUUCUGACGCUGAGGUGCGAAAGCGUGGGUAGCAAACAGGAUUAGAUACCCUGGUAGUCCACGCUGUAAACUAUGGGUGCCAGAUGUUGGGGCUUUCAGCCUCAGUGUCGAAGUUAACGCGUUAAGCACCCCGCCUGGGGACUACGGCCGCAAGGCUAAAACUCAAAGGAAUUGACGG
rnacentral:rRNA from 1 species